UCUUCACCCUCAGGUAGUGAGCGUGUCACUGCGGCCGGUCGGCCCCAUCGGCUUCCGAGCUCUCCUGUCUCUGUCCCUGUGUCGCAGGGGAACCCUCCUUCCGAUGGCUCAAGGACUUCAGUGCAGCCCACAAGGACUUAGCCAAGGCGAGGGAGCUGGGUGCCCUGGAGGCCCAGGAGGCUCGGCGGCAGCUGGUGCUCACCUAUGACGACUGUGCUGUGCACUGCUACACCCCUGGCUGAUUUGAUGAGGCUGUGAUGCUCCUUGGCGAGGCUCUGCAGGAUGAGAGGAGGGAGAAGGGGCUUUAUCUCAACAGAGGAGACUGUCUGUGCUGUCCUGAGGAGCGAGACUGGAUGCAUUGCCCAAGAAACCUUGGAGAAAAUGCUUCAGGGCCCCCCCAGAACUCACUAUUUCGGCUGACGUCACCUGGUGUGACAGCAGCAACAGGUCCCCUGUCGUGACACCACCCAGAAGCUGAACGGACGCUGGCCCAGCCACAGCCUGGAAGGUCUGACCAGCAGAAGGAUGUACAAGAGGCUCAACAGCUCAUAGCACCAACUCUCAGCCUGCUGUAGAAAUCAUCACUGAAUAAAAGGAAUUUUCAAAACUGUUAGUGGCACCACAGGCUCCUCUGGAGGUAGGACUGACAUUUUUCGUAGCUGGUAAAACAAGCAAGAAGUCUUUUUGUUGUUGUUUUCCUGGUUUGCUGCAGGGAAACCCUUUCGACUUUAGGGGAAAGAUGGACAAGGAGGUGGU